CAGCCUUAAAAUGACCAUGGAUAUACAUGGAUAUCCAUGGAAAGAGCAUGGAAAUACAUGGAUAAGUCAAGUGAAUGGACAGUGUCCAUACUAACAAACAUGGAUAACAUGGACGAUGUCCAUGGAUAACAUGUACAAUGUCCAGGGAAUAUAAAAAUGUUCAUGGACAUAGUACAAAAAAACUAUGUCUAAUGUGGACAUUGUCCAUGGUCAACUUCAUUGCUCAUACUUAGAAAUUUUUAUCAAAAGUGAUUGGAUGGAUAUGCAAAAAAAAUCUAAGUGCCAAAACAUGAAAAAUGUUUAAAAAAAUCAUAACUGCCAUUCUUAAAAAAAUUAUAUGUUCAUAUUGGGUAUCAAAUUAUUCAGCAUGAAAAGAAGAAAUCAAAUAUAGUAAGAUCAAGUAGAUUUUUUUUUUAUUUUAUUUUUUUUAAAUUCCAAACUUCAGUUAAAUGAUAAUAUAGAAAAAUAUACUGUACCCUUAUGCAUACCAUUUCAAUUAUAUAAAAAGAUAAUCUACUCACUACUUGUAGACUUGUUUAGGUUUGUUUGUUUCUGUUUUUGUGGUUCAUUAUCAUAUAUUACCCUAAUUAAGUUAGAAAAAUAAAUACACAAUUUAAUAGAAACAAUUUAAAUUUAAGAACAAAUGUAAUUGUUAUGCACUUAUAUUUCUUUAUUUAUUUUUGAUAAAUUAAUUAUUAUUAUGUAUCUCUAUUGAAGUAUAUAUAAUUUAUAUAUUCAUCCUGUGUAGAUGUAACUUAUGUAUAGUGAUUAAUUUCUGGAACAUUCAAAUUAGCAUCAGCCACAAUGUAAACGUUUAUGACCCCUCAAGUGGAACCUGCUGUUUUCAUAACUACCAUAGUUAAACUCACCUAUCUGAUAUAAGAGAAUAGAAAGAGGUAAAGCAGGUUUACAACAUACUAUAUUACACUGUAGCUCCCAAGUAACUUAAUACCCUUGCAGAACAAAUCACAGGUCAGAACACUCCUUCCAGGCGGGUCAUUUGAACAGAAGCAUUGAAAGAUAAUGUUUAUUAGUGCCUAUACUGCUUAAAAGUUAUAACUUGAAAUAUUAUGUUGGAGCAUUGGAAAUUAGACCAAAUGAGUUUAAACUGGACAAAUUUACAAGAGUUUUCUGGAAAUAUGAACUUUUAAACAUGUGUAUUUCAUGAUUCAGUUAAAAUGGAGGGAACUACAUGUAUAUAACCAUUUCUAACAGUUGCAAACUUUCAAGUCUUGGAGUCACAUGAGAUGUUUCAACUCAAAGGAUGUCAGAUGUAAAAGUCAUAAAUGUACUGUUGAAUACAGAAUGCUUUCAAAACCAUCCUGGACCAACUGCAGAUCAAGGUUAUUGGCAUAACAAGCUACAGUAAGAUGGCCAUUGUUCUAUUCCGCUUUUUGUAUAAAGAGGAGGAAUAUGCCGGAAAAUCAUUGACAGGGAAAGCAUCCAAAAGUGGCGAAAAAAGGCCACCUGUUGACCAAGAAAAGUUGACAGGAAUUUACGAUAUCAUCAAAAGGAAUUUUCCGCAUGUCACACCAGUGAUGGUCAGGGAAAAGCUGCGUGACAUUGUCAAGCCAUCUCGUGCCAACAAAACAGUGGAACAAUAAAUAUGUGUACAAAAUAAACUGUGGCCGUUUUAGCCAUUCAGAACAAUAUAAAUGAGAACAUUUGAGAACUUGUUUUACUUCAUAUAUGGUGUAAAUAAAUCUUUAAUGUGUCAUAAUUUUACAGCCUUGUCAAUUCCAAAUCAUUGUUACACUAGUGCAACUCCCAAGUGAAAAAGAUUGUGUGGGAC